rnacentral:misc_RNA from 1 species
GAUGAAGAACGUAGCAAAAUGCGAUAAGUAAUGUGAAUUGCAGAAUUCAGUGAAUCAUCGAAUCUUUGAACGCACAUUGCGCCCGCUGGUAUUCCGGCGGGCAUGCCUGUUCGAGCGUCAUUUCAACCCUCAAGCCCCCGGGUUUGGUGUUGGGGAUCGGCUCUGCCCUUCUGGGCGGUGCCGCCCCCGAAAUACAUUGGCGGUCUCGCUGCAGCCUCCAUUGCGUAGUAGCUAACACCCCGCAACUGGAACGCGGCGCGGCCAUGCCGUAAAACCCCAACUUCUGAAUGUUGACCUCGGAUCAGGUAGGAAUACCCGCUGAACUUAAGCAUAUCAAUAAGCGGAGGA